CGGAGGGUGCAAGCGUUAUCCGGAUUUACUGGGUUUAAAGGGUGCGUAGGUGGGUAGGUAAGUCAGAGGUGAAAUCUUCGAGCUUAACUCGGAAACUGCCAUUGAUACUAUUUAUCUUGAAUACUCUGGAGGUAAGCGGAAUAUGUCAUGUAGCGGUGAAAUGCUUAGAUAUGACAUAGAACACCAAUUGCGAAGGCAGCUUACUACAUAGUUAUUGACACUGAGGCACGAAAGCGUGGGGAUCAAACAGGAUUAGAUACCCUGGUAGUCCACGCCCUAAACGAUGGAUACUCGACAUCAGCGAUACACUGUUGGUGUCUGAGCGAAAGCAUUAAGUAUCCCACCUGGGAAGUACGAUCGCAAGAUUG
rnacentral:rRNA from 1 species